UACGUAGGGUGCGAGCGUUGUCCGGAAUUAUUGGGCGUAAAGAGCUCGUAGGCGGUGUGUCGCGUCGGCCGUGAAAACCUGGGGCUCAACUCUGGGCGUGCGGUCGAUACGGGCAUCACUUGAGUUCGGCAGGGGAGACUGGAAUUCCUGGUGUAGCGGUGAAAUGCGCAGAUAUCAGGAGGAACACCGGUGGCGAAGGCGGAUCUCUGGGCCUUACCUGACGCUGAGGCGCGAAAGCUAGGGGAGCGAACAGG
rnacentral:rRNA from 1 species